rnacentral:rRNA from 1 species
AGUCACUGACAUUAGAUACCCCCUGUAGUCCAGGGUGUAAACGCUGCAGACUUUGGUGUUUGGAAGUCCUUUGGGGGCAUUCAGUGCCGGAGAGAAGUUGUUAAGUCUGCUACUUGGGGAGUACGUCCGCAAGGAUGAAACUUAAAGGAAUUGGCGGGGGAGCACCGCAACGGGAGGAGCGUGCGGUUUAAUUGGAUUCAACACCGUAAAACUCACCAGGGAAGACUGUUACAUGAAAGCCGAGAUGAAGACUCUGCUAGAUUUUUCAG